rnacentral:rRNA from 1 species
AUGAUAUAUGCUACACACACCCCUAAGAGAGAGCGCAAGCGCGCACUCAGGGACGUCUACGCGAUAGAGCCAGUCGCCCCAAAAUUUAAUCCAUGGUCGUCAUGCCCGAUCAUGUUUGAUCACCGGGAUCAUCCGACCAGUAUCCAUCACGGCGGUUCAGCCGCACUGGUCUUGGAGCCAAUAAUUGAUGGGUUCCACCUGACGCGAGUCCUGAUGGACGGUGGCAGCAGCCUCAACUUGCUCUAUCAGGAUACAGUACGCAAAAUGGGCAUUCAUCCAUCAUGGAUCAAACCCACAAAGACUACCUUCAAAGGAGUCAUACCAGGUGUAGAUGCCCGCUGUAAUGGCUCAAUCACGCUCGAGGUUGUCUUCAGAUCCCCGGACAAUUUCCGAAGCGAGGAGUUAAUCUUCGACAUAGUCCCCUUUCGCAGUGGCUAUUACACACUGCUCGGACGGACCGCAUUCGCCUGA